GACGAACGCUGGCGGCGUGCCUAAUACAUGCAAGUUGAGCGCUGAAGGUUGGUACUUGUACCAACUGGAUGAGCAGCGAACGGGUGAGUAACGCGUGGGGAAUCUGCCUUUGAGCGGGGGACAACAUUUGGAAACGAAUGCUAAUACCGCAUAAAAACUUUAAACAGAAGUUUUAAGUUUGAAAGAUGCAAUUGCAUCACUCAAAGAUGAUCCCGCGUUGUAUUAGCUAGUUGGUGAGGUAAAGGCUCACCAAGGCGAUGAUACAUAGCCGACCUGAGAGGGUGAUCGGCCACAUUGGGACUGAGACACGGCCCAAACUCCUACGGGAGGCAGCAGUAGGGAAUCCUCGGCAAUGGACGAAAGUCUGACCGAGCAACGCCGCGUGAGUGAAGAAGGUUUUCGGAUCGUAAAACUCUGUUGGUAGAGAAGAACGUUGGUGAGAGUGGAAAGCUCAUCAAGUGACGGUAACUACACAGAAAGGGACGGCUAACUACGUG
rnacentral:rRNA from 1 species